UUUUUCUUUACAAGCCACGGGCCCAGGAAGAACAUAUGAAAUAUUUUGAUAGGGAAAACUUAUGCCGCAAAUCUAGUUUCUUGAAGUGGCUGCUCUGCCACAGUAAUCACAAAUAAUUUAUGCAGCUUUAUGAUUGAGGUUACAUGCUUGAAGAAACUAGUUGCAGUUUGUGGUUUGCUUCAGUAUUUGUAUUUAUAUAUAAUGCCCUUCAGUGCAGUUCAAGGAUAU
rnacentral:lncRNA from 1 species